UACGUAGGUGGCUAGCGUUGUCCGGAUUUACUGGGCGUAAAGAGCGCGCAGGCGGUCGUUCAAGUCGCGUGUGAAAGCCCCCGGCUCAACUGGGGAGGGUCACGCGAUACUGAUCGACUCGAAGGCAGGAGAGGGUAGUGGAAUUCCCGGUGUAGUGGUGAAAUGCGCAGAUAUCGGGAAGAACACCCGUGGCGAAGGCGGCUCUCUGGGACGGUACUGACGCUGAGACGCGAAAGCGUGGGGAGCGAACAGG
rnacentral:rRNA from 1 species